CGUGGCAUCACCAUCAAGUCCACGGGUAUUUCUCUCUACUACGAGAUGACCAAUGCUUCCUUGAAGAGCUUCACUGGCGCCAGAGAUGGGAACGAGUACCUGGACACCUAAUAAUGGACAGAGGAUUACAUUUGCUGAAGUCAUUGAAAACGAGUGGUUUAAUAAAGGGCAUAAGACCAUGAUUAACCUGAGUUUGUUAACUGCUGUUCUUAGCUUCUAGUUUUUAACUAACAAAAUCUAAUAACCAUCUCUUAUAAGACAUAUAAAAGCCUCCUCUUAUCCGAAAAGCGUAAAAAAAAAAAAAAAACAAUGUCAAAUCAUGAGUUAAAAAAUCCCGACUAAUACACCGGAGUUAAAACACACAAAUAUGAAAAUGCAAAUGUCAGCUUUGAUGAUGUUGAUGCAUUUUUUGAUGAAUCAGGGGUAAGGCUUGUGUUUCUUUUUUCGUUUAAUUUAUGAACUUUGUCUUGGAUGAUUGCCUAGAUUUGUUUUUGUUGGGUAAUAUAGGACUUAGAACACCAGUAACUAUGAAUGCUUUUGAGCUCAUCUCAACAUCCAAAGGUCUCAAUCUCGGUUCACUUUUUGAAAAGCAAAUGGUUCCGCUUUUUCUUUUUUUUUUUUUGUUGGGGAUAAUUAAUGAGUAGUAGCUUUUUGGCCAAAAGUUUAGUUACGAGUUCUGUUUUUGAGACCAUGAUUAUAGGGAGUGUUUAAUGCUGGUGCUUAGCAUAAUUUUGAUUUAAAAAAAAAAUUAAGUGUAAAGAGAAGAGGCGACGCUUAAUUGAGCGCCAGAAGCGCCGACGCUUAGAGACACGCGUCAUAACGUCUCGACUCCAUCUCUUUCUCUCUUUCGUGUUCUUUCUCUCCUCUCUAUCGCUCUCACGAAAGGAAGAAGGUCAAUCGCUCUAUCUCUCUCAUCUCUUUCUCUCCUGUCGGAUGAUUCAAUCGGCGAUUCCGCCUCUCCUUCUUGAUUUCUCUUCGAUGAUGCCACCAUCGGCGUCUCUCUCGGUGGCUCCGCCUCAAGGUCGUGAAAUCUCGUCGAAGACUCCGGAUCUCGUUGUUGAUCUCUCGUCGACGAUGAAUCACUGGACGUGUCGCUCGGUUCCUCUACUCGAAGCCUCUGCCUCUCUAUCAAGAUCGUCGACUCCAAUUCCAUAUCUCUCUCUCUCUCGGCGACGGUUUGAGCUGGGUCGAAUCGAAAGGUAAAGCAACGAUUUGUUUUUAAUUUUUAGUUAUGAAUACUUCACAUGUCUUAGAUUUGUCUUAGAUUGUGAUUGUUCUAAUUUAUUUUGAUUUUUUUUGUGUUGUUAUCGGUCUGUUGAUUCAAUCUCUUGUAUUUGUUUAAACUUCGUGAUGAAUUUAUAUGUGAUCUCUGAUUGUUUGAAUUUUUUUCUUACUUUGCGAGAUGGUGAUCGUUGAAGACACAUGAAACUUCCUCAAACAAGAGAACUACAAUCGCAGCACAGGUAAAUCAUAUUCCUUUGAUCUUUUCAAUUGAUUGAAAGUGUGAUAAAGUUUCUGUGAAUAGAUUGGUAGGUCGUUGUUGAGUAAUGGUUCACUUUGAGGUUCAUUUCGAAUUGUUAUCGCUAUGAAUGUGUGUUAGAUUAGUUUGUAAUAAAUGAUUGUGUUAGAAAUGGUUCUCAUAGGGAUGAUUGUGUUUCUGUUCUGAAUUGAUUCAUUUGUAAUAAAUGGUAUGGUUAGCGUUAGUGAAUGGUUGCUAAUAAAUGGUUAGAUAAAAAUGGAGUUGAAGUUUUAUGAAUGUGUGUUAGAUAUAUGUCACCUCGUUUUGAUUGGGUGUGUUAUUAGAGGCAAAGCUUUUCUUCCUCUCUUCUAUAAAUUGUUUUUUCUUCUCUUCUUCUCCUCUUCCAUCUAUCUAAAAACAGAGUUAUUGUCUUCCUCUCUUCUUUUAAUCAACCUCGGAUAUGGAUUCUCUUCCAUAUAGGCAAACGCCAAAGUUUGUUGAAUUGCUUACCAAUCAACAAAACAUUGUCUUUGGUUUGUCUAAAGAUAGUCUUGACCUAUCUUCAUCACAAGUCCCUCUUUUUGGCUCCCAACCGAGUGAAGAUUCCAAUUUUGGCGACAGCACUCCUGCAGGGCGUCGAGAAAGGAGGAAAUGGACACCAGGAGAUGACGUUCUGCUCAUCAGCUCGUGGCUUAAUACAAGCAAAGACCCUGUGGUCUCGAAUGAGCAAAAAUCCGGGGCUUUCUGGAAAAGUGUCGCAACAUACUUCGCCGCAAGCCCUAAGGUGCAAGGCUGUGAAGUCAGAGAGGCGACCCACUGCAAGAACCGUUGGCAGGAGAUCAAUGAUCUAGUCAACAAGUUUUGUGGGGCUUACGAAGCUGCGAGUGGAGAGAGAAGUAGCGGUCAAAAUGAGAAUGAUAUUCUCAAACUAGCUCAUGAGAUAUUCUUCAACAACCACAAAAAAAAAUUCAACCUUGAGCACGCUUGGAAGGAGCUUCGAAACGAUCAGAAAUGGUGCGAACUUUAUACUUGCAAAGCCGGUGGAAGCGGAAAGAGGAGGAAGCUUGAUGAUGGUGAGCAUUCCUCAACCUCUCAUGCGUUUGAAACCAUGAAUGAUGAAGCUGAUGAAGUAGCCACUCGUCCCCCGGGUGUGAAGAUAUCAAAGGGGCUUGCUAAGCAAAAGGGGCUUGCUAAGAAUAAUGCAGAGACUGAGUAUCAGAGGAUGUGGAACAUCAAGAAGGAGGAUAUGGCUAUGAGGGACAGGCUUUUGAAGAUGAAGCUGCUGGAUAACUUAUUGGCAAAAACAGAACCGUUAGCUGAGGAUGAGGCAGCGCUGAAGUUGAAGCUCAUAACUGAAUUGAUGUCUAAAUCUCUGAUGCAUUUAAGUUUAUGCAUUUAAGUUAAUGUUUUCUAAGUCUAAUUAGUUUAAGAUCAAGUCUAAGUUGUUGUUGUCUUGUUGGAUUUAAAAACUCUGUUUUCUUGAACUGAUUCUUGAACUGAAUAUGUAUGUUUGCUACGGAUGCUAUAAGAACUCUCUGUCGUUUCAAUGAUUAUUAUGGCUGAUAUGUGCUUGUGUUUUAUUUGAUCAUAACACUCACUUUUGUAUCUUCUUUCUGUCAGGUCUUGGCUGAUAUGUGCUUUUGUUUUCUGUCUGCUUAUGUCACGGACGAGCUGUCAUGGAGCGUGGAAGACUGUCUUCUGUCCGCUUGUGUCACGGAUUAGAGAGUCUUGUGUCUUUUUUUUGGGUCAAAAAGUGUGGCUUGUGUAUUAUUGUGUCACGAGGUCUUCAAUGUUGUAUAUAAAUGUUGUAUCACACAAUCACAUUUCUACGAUACCAUCUCUUCUCUCUUCUAGUUUGUGGAAACAAUCUCAUCAUCGCAAACUCUACAACACAAUCGCAUCACAUUUCUCCUUUGUGGAAACAAUCUCAUCAUCUCUCAUAUAUUCACCAUCUCCUUUAUUCAUUCUCAAUUCCCAAUCUCAUCGCACACACUACAACACCAACCUCACGCAAACACUACAACACCCAUCUCUCCUUUAUUCACCAUCUCUCUUUUUAUUCAGAAGUAAUCAAUUUUUUUUUCCAACGAAAAUGGUAUCUUCUUCCCAUAACACUUUUGAGGGAGUAGAUGAUGAUAAUUUUGAUCAAUACCAUGAUCAACAUUUUGAUCAAUCUUUCGAGAAUUUCACCAAUGUUUUGGGUGAUCAAGGAGAAGAAAGGAAAAGAAAAAAAAAACGAAUUCAUAUUGAAAGAAAUCGUGAAGAAGACAAUGUCCGUUUAUGGAACGAUUAUUUCAGUGAAACUCCAACUUACCCUGCUAAUCUUUUCCGACGACGAUUUAGAAUGAACAGGCCAUUGUUCAUGCGUAUCGUUCAUCGACUCUCAAAUGAAGUCUUCGAUAAAAGAAAGAUGCUCUCGGAAGGGCUAGUCUCUCUCCCCUUCAAAAGUGUACCACAGCCAUUCUGUCUCUUGGCAUAUGGUAGUGCGGCUGAUACAGUUGACGAAUAUCUCCGACUCGGUGAAACUACUAAUCGGUCUUGUUUGGAACAUUUUGUGGAAUGAAUAAUUAAUUUAUUCGGCGAGGAGUACCUAAGAAGACCAACACCGGCAGAUCUUCAACGUCUACUUUAUAUUGGUGAACAACGUGGAUUUCCCGGGAUGAUAGGAAGCAUCGAUUGUAUGCAUUGGGAGUGGAAGAAUUGUCCCACCGCUUGGAAAGGUCAAUAUUCACGUGGUUCGGGAAAACCAACAAUCGUUUUGGAGACGGUUGCUUCGUAUGAUCUAUGGAUAUGACAUGCGUUUUUUGGACCUUCAGGUACCUUAAAUGAUAUCAAUGUUCUUGAUCGCUCACCUGUUUUUGAUGACAUAAUAGAAGGUAAAGCUCCGCCAGUCACUUUUUCCGUCAAUGGAAGAGAAUAUCAUUUGGCUUACUAUCUUACAGACGGUAUUUACCCGAAAUGGGUAACUUUUAUCCAAUCUAUUCCAUUACCACAAGGGCCAAAAGCGGCUUUAUUUGCUCAACAUCAAGAAGCUGUCCGAAAAGAUGUCGAACGUGCUUUUGGAGUCUUGCAAGCUCGCUUUGCCAUUGUCAAAAAUCCGUCAUUUUUUUGGGAUAAAGUCAAAAUUGGAAAGAUUAUGAGAGCAUGUAUCAUACUCCAUAAUAUGAUAGUAGAAGACGAACGAGAUGGAUAUACUCAAUAUGAUGUUUCAGAGUUUCAACAAGGAGAAUUCUCCGGAAGUUCACAUGUCGAUCUCGAUUUUUCUACAGAUAUGCCUACAAAUAUUGCCAAUAUAAUGGGUGUUCGAACUAGAAUUCGUGAUAGACAAAUGCAUCAACAACUCAAACAUGAUUUGGUUGAACAUUUAUGGACUAAAUUUGGACGUGAUGAAGACAACAACUGAGUUCGGAAUGUUUCUUUCAAAUUAGUCGGCUCGUUUAUUUUAUUAAUCCUCGUUUUUUAUUAAUAUUUUAUGUUUAAAAUGUAAUAUUUUAUUAUGUUUUAUUUUAAUUUUAUCUUAAAAAUAAAAUUUAAACACCCCUAAUUAAGAUCCUUCCAUGGAAGGACACAUCUUAAUGAAAUCUUAACUAAAGUGCUUAGGUCCAAUCAAAGUUCAAUUAAUUAAUUAAAUACUCAUUGAGCAACCCAUAUGGGAUUUAUGGUUAAUCAUGCUCUGAGAAUCCUGUAUUUUGUAAUAUUUUUUGUUAGUGGGAAGUAGACGUUCUUACAGAUAAACAUGUUUAAAUUUCAGGGGCUUGUUAAACGGAAAACUCAGUUUACUUCAAAAUGUCCGGCUAAUGAGAUAGUCACAAAAAUAGAGGCUGCAGCAGGACCUAUGGGAUUUGAUGUCAAGAAAAAUAACUACAAAGUUUUCUGUUGCAUCAUAUUCACUCACGUCCUGUGAAAAAAUUGUAUCUAAUUCUUUUGAUUACACCAUUUUUCUUGAUUUCAUCCAAGAUGAAGCUUCUAGGAGAAAAAUCAGGCCGCAAGGGUCAAUUACCAGUCACGACUGAGGUUAGUCACCCUUUUUGUGUGUUGAUGAUUGUUACGGUUGUUGGAUGAUCCCCUAAUCUCUUAAGUUAAUGGACAUAUAUAUAUACUGUUCAGGUUUUUCAAGUUACUCCAUCGCUAUAUAUGGUUGAAAUGAAGAAAUCAAGGGGUGACGCCUUGGAAUUCGACAAGGUAAUACAUGCAAGGUUCUAAUCUUGUGGAUAUAUAGGCUUUGAGUAAAUCUUUUUUUUUUUGGGUCUCUGUUUUAAUUUUACUUUUUUUAUUUAUCAAUAUCUCUAUUUUAGUUUUACAAGAACCUUACCACGGGUCUUAAGGAUAUCGUUUGAAAAACAAUCGAUGAAGAGAAAGAGGAAGGAACCCAAGGUACAUAGCAUUUUUCUUUUGAAGAAUCUGUUAGAUAAAAAAAGUCUAGAAAGUAUGAAGAGACAAAACAACGCAAAUCAUGUUUUGUUUCUUUUAGUUUCAGAUGGUGCGGUGGUUGCUACUUGAUAGCCUGACUAAUUGUCUAUGUAUGCUUCUAAUAUUAUUUAGUAACUAGAUUAAAAUCCGCGCUUUGUGCGGGAUAAAUGUUGGAUAUACAUAAAAUUUUAUGUAAUACUGUAGUAUUUAUUUGUGUUUUCUUACUUAUAUUAAAUUCGUUAGAGAUAAGUGACUAUUACAUAUGUAACUAAAUUAGUGCGGACAUAUAGAUCAAAAUAAUUAUUUUUAUUUAAAAUAAUUUUAUGGUAAAUAAAUUCAAAUAAUUAUUUUUAUAUUUUAUACUUUUAUAAUUAAAUUUAAAUGAUAUGAACAUGAAUGUAUAGUAUAUUUUUUAAUAUGACUAUUUAUUAAAUAAAAUUUCCUAUUCACAUGGUUUUAUGAUAAUUUUUACUUUUAUAACAAAAAAAAUUGAAACAUUGAUAACCAAAUUUUCAAUAUGGAACUUUUAAUAUUUUUUUAAUAAGUUAUAAUCAUUUUUACAAAUUCAAUGAAAAUUUUGAAACUAAAAUAUUAAAUUCUUAGUAUUUGUUCAAUGAAAAUUUUGAAAUUUAAAUAUUUAAGCAUUUAUAUAAUAUAUAAUGUAAUUUAAAUGAUAUAUAUAUAUAUAUAUAUAUAUAAUCUAAUAUUUAUUAAAUAAAACAUCCUACUUAUAUAAUUUUAUGAACAUUUGUAUCUUCUUAUAUAUAAAAACUAAACCACUGAUCACAUAAGUUGAUUAAAAAUUGGUUAAUUUAAAUCUUAUAUAUUAAAACAGAACUCACAACUUUGAUUUAUGUGUGAUUUUUUUUAAAAAAGACCUAAUGGACAUAUUCUUAGAAAUUCAUGUUACAUUUAAUCUCUAAUCUUAUCAUUUAAAUUUUGGAUCUAUCAAAAUUUUUUAUUGGACUAUCAAUAAUUAGAUUUAAAGAAUAGAUGAUCCAUUAGAUUUAUAGAUAAUAUAAAUUAAAUAUAUAUAAUUUAAUAUUGUAAUACUAUACAUCCAUAUGUUAAAUAUUUAAAUAUUUGUCGAUGUUAACUUUUAAAAUUAUAAAGAUUUUUUUGAAAAUAACAAAAAUCAGAUUAUCUAACAAUGAUUAAUCUUUACUACCUUAAACCAAUGAAAACAAAUUUUAAACUAUAUAGUUUAUUUUAAAAAUUAAACAAAAACUAAAUGUUUAAUUAUUUACUCGAUAUUAUAAAUCUAUGAAGCGAAAAAUUUAGUUUUUUAAAACUUUAUAAAUUUGUGAAAUGUUACAAUAUUUUUGAAUAUGACAAUAAAUCAAUAUUUUACUAAUAUUUAUAUAUAUAGUUACGAUUUUAAUAAUGAGAUAAUAAUCCGAAAAUAUAUAUAGAAGAAGAUACAAAUACAUGUGAAAGUUUAAAACAAUUUAUUCAAUAAAAAAAUAUACCGUAAACUUAUUAUGUUUUAAAAUUGAUAGACACAUAUAUAAUAAUAUGUACCAAUUUAGAAUUGAAAACAUAAUAUUUAGAUAAAAAUAAAUGAAAACAAAAAUCCGUGCAGUUGCGCGGAUCGAGAUCUAGUUAGUUUUUAAAAUUCAAAAUAUAAUAUGUAUAAAAAAUUUGAAAUCCCCUCACUACAAAAAAUAUGUACAUUUUCAGCACAUGAUAUAUGUUAUAGUAGGAGUUUCAUAGCGAAUUCAUAAAUGUUAUGUAAUCGGCGGCCAUCGUAGUUACCCCUUAUGCGAUAGCAUUUUUGUAACGCUACGAUAAAUAGAGAUACGAUAGCAAUAUUUGAAUGUUAUUAUUAACUUAAAUAACGAUUCAUAUUUCGUGUUAUAAUAUAUCUUUCUACAAUAAACCAAAAAACAAUUAUAAUUAAAAAUAAAAUAACUGAAAAUGAAACCAAAAAUUGUUUUAUAUUGAAAUAAAAUAAAUUUUAUUUAUAAAUUAAAAUUGACUUACAAAUUAAUUAUAUUUUACAAAACUAAACAAAAAAUUAAAAAUAAACUCAAACCAGUACAAUUUCUCUAUCCUGGUUUACACUAAACCAAAUCUAAACCUAACAAAAAAUUCUAAACCUAACAAAAAAGAGACUCCAUAGCCUUGCCCCUCUUCCAACAGCCAUGAGCCUUGCCUCCUCCAGCCGCCACGAGACUUGCGUCUUCAAACCACAAUGGACCUUACCUCCUCCAACUACCAUGAACCUUGCCUCCACCUAUCUUUAGAAAAAACAAAACAAAAUCAGAUGCAUAAUAGAGAAAUAGAGAGGAGAUACACAGAUGCGAAGAGAGAGAUAGGUCGACCGUGGUGGUGGUGGGAGGGUGACAGCGGUGGUGGUGAGACAAGGAGGAGACGUGGUGGGAGAGAGAUGGGAGGAUGAGAGAGGCGUGGAGAGAGAUGGGAGAGAUGAUAGAUAAGAGAGUGAAGAAGAAGAGAAUGAUGAAGGAGAAUCAGAUCUGUCGUCGCGGAGAAGGGAGAGAGAGAGAGAGAGGAGAAAUAAAAUUAAAAAUUAAAAAUAAUAAAUAUCGACCUUUACCUUUAGAUCUAAGUUAAUCCAACGGUUCAGAAGUGUGAUCUAUGUAUCUGAAUUUGAUUGGUUAGGAAUUUUUUUUCUUUUUUCUUUUUCUUCAGUAUUUGAUAAUUUGUUUUGUAAAUAAUUUUUCUUAGUCACAUCUUAUUUCAAAAUUUAUAUUUUGAAAUUUAUAAUUUAAGUCCAAACUUUUAUUUUUUGAACAUAAUAAACUAAUAUAUUUUUAAGAAUUGAUGUUUAAAUUUGAAAAUAUUAGAUUUAUAUCAAGAUUAUGAUUUUGGUUAUCAUUUUUAAAAUUUGUAUGUUUACACAGAAAUCUGAUUUAUAAUUUGCUUAUAAAUUUGUAUGUUUGAUUCAAAUGUUGAAAAGCUUUAAAUUUAGAUUUUAUGGUUUAUAAAAAAAUAUGAUUAAGAGUAAAUUUUAGUUUUGCAAUUUAAGGUUUGGAUGUUGGAAUAUGAGGUUUAGGGUUAAAGUUUAGUAUCUUGGAUUAAAAUUGGAAAAUAAUAGAUUUGAAGACUAGAUAUAACAUUUGUAGUUAUAUUUUUAAUAAUUUAGAUUUGAAGUUUAUAUUUUGAGUAUUGAAUGUUUAGUUUAUGUUUGAAGUUAGGAUUUAAUAUAUAGCUAGAGUUGAUUAAAGAUUAAAGAUAGGUGUUCAAACAAUUAUAGUUUAAGAUUAAAAAUAUUAACUUGUGAGUUUAAUUUUAAGAUUUGAAGUUAUAAUAUGAAAAAAAAAUAGAGUUUUAAAGGUUGUUUUUAGAGUUUAGGGUUUAAAAUUGUGUUUAGGGUUUAAAACCAUGUUCAGGGUUUAGGGGUUCAAAUAGCUUUUCUUAGCGUUAUAAAAUGCUAUUAUAUAUCUUUGACAGCAUUACUCAAUCCGCUUAAAUAAAAUCUUUGGCGCUUAAAUCUAAUUUUCCGCUAAGUAUUGGCGGGAUCAAUGACUUUAUAUUCCCGCUCACUUAAUUUACAAAAUAACAUUAAUUAAAUGCCAUUUUAGGUUUCGCUCUACCAUAGCGUUUAUCUAACGCUAUUAUAUAAUACAGAAAUAUUUAAAUCAUCUACGAUAGCAGUUCAGUAAAAUGUGCUAUAACAAUAUGCUAUCAAUGUAGAUUUUUUUUUGUAUUGCAUAUAUAUUAAUCCUGGAGCAUUACAACAUGUUUUCGUAGCUACGUGUCAUCACAGAAUGAUUAUUAGAAUUGUUAGAAAAAUAAGUUGGUCCAUAUAAACAUAUACUAUGCUUUUUAUUAAACUAACUAUCAAAUUAAUUAAUAAAGUACAAAAAAAUAUUUUUUUCCUUAAAUAAAAGAUACGGAAUUACUUAAUAUGAUUAAUAUAUAUAUGACAAUUAAUGACUAUGAAUAAUAUAUAUUUGAUAAAAAAAAAUCUAACCUCUCUCUUUUUUGUUUAAUUUUAUACUAUUAAAAGAAAUUAAACAAUCACUUUAAACAUAUAAUCUCUUUUUCCUAUAUGUUAUAUUUUGAAUUUUUAAAAACGAGUAUGAAUUACUAAAAAAAAUAAAAGUCUCACAUUAAAUUUUUUGUGAUCAAUGGUUUAACUUUUUUUUUCGUUCAAACAAGAUACAAAGUUACAAAUGAACAGAUAUCAUAGGGGUGAGCGUUCGGAUACACGUUCGAGUUUGUAUCAGAUAUUUCAGUAUAAAGGUAUAGAACCCGUUUAGGUAUUUCUACACUUUGAGUCGGGUUCUGGUAUUUUAUGUUCAGGUUCGAAUAUUUUGUAUCGGGUUCGGAUAUUUAAAUUUUGAAGAAAAAAUAAUUAAAUUAUCCAUUUUUAAGUUUUUUUGUAUUUAAAAUAUAUUUUAACUAAAAUGUUUUUUUAAUUUUUAAUAGAUUAAAUUAUUAAAAGGUUUGGAGAUAAAACUUUAAAAAUAGAAAGACACUAAUUUAGUUGUUGUUUGGAAAUUUUAGAUGCAACUUUUGUUAAUGCAAGAAACAAGAACUUGAAAUGUAUUUUAAGUGAGUAACACAUGAUUUUGUCCAUAAUUAUAUGUAUAUUAUCUAAUUUUGAGCAAUAAGAAUCAUUAAUAUAAAUAUUUUGAAUAAAAUGAGAGAAAUAAACUAGAAAUACAGAGUUAAGUAUACUUAUGUUUGGUUAUCUUCAGAUAUCCAUCCGGGUUCGGAUAUUACCCGUUCGGAUUCAGAUAUUACCAGAACUGGUGAAAUACGUAAUCUGUUUUUUUGUUCUAAUUAGAUAAUUUUUAGACCGAGCUGGUGAAUAUAUACUAGAAAAAUAUUUAUAUUCCGAGUCUGCACUUAUAUUCUAUAACAGCUUGAUAUAUUAGAUUUGAACACUAACUUGUUAAUAUAGUUAGCUAGUGAUUUUUUUUCAAAAUUUUAAUUCUUAGAUAUGUAUAUGAGUGAAACUAGUUUUUACAGAUGUUCAUUUUUUUUAAUUGACUCUUAUGUAAUUCACUGAAUUCAUAAAAGAAGUUAGAAAAAAAAAAUUAACUCAUAUCAAUUAAACAAAGACGAGAACGAAAUCACAAUUCUAUUGAUCUAGAAAAUGAAAUCACUUAUGGAGAAUCAAUAUUAAACAAAUCGAGAGCAGAAAACCUAAUCCCCUUUCGUCGUUAUAGAAUCGAUAUUGCCUAUUUGGUUUUGGUGAUUUGUGUCAGCCGCAAAACUUAAUUUUCUUUUGUGCAUAUGAAGCCUUAAAAAUAACUAAAAUGCGAUGUAAUAUGUUAACUCUUCAACAACGACGAUAUAUUUAAGAGACCAACAUUUGUAUUCAUCAUUUCAUUAUCGAUAAAAAUUGUAGUGUUACAAAAUGUUAAAAUCAUUUCAUAAACAAACAUUAUUAUAAAAACUCACCCCGUGCAUGCGCGAGGGUUAUCAUCUAGUUUUUAUUAUUUGGUUAAUUUGAUUGUCUAAGUUAUUCUAAUAAUAUUAAUAUAUAACAAAAAUGAUAGAGGAAAUAUAAAUUAUUAUCAAAUCUUUUUUAUUUAAAAUCAUUAGCUAUCAUAAAUAUUUUUUGAUCAAAUUAGUUAAUUCCGUAUGUUCUAUUUAAGGAAAUAAUGAAGAAUAUUUUUAUAUUGAUAAUUAAUUAUAUGAUUAGUUUAAUAAAAAAAUAUUAUAUGUUUAGAUAGACCAACUUAUUUUUCUAAGAAUUUUCAAAUUGAUUCUCGUGAUGACACGUGUCUGUAUAAGAAUAUUUCUAUUGUUUCUCUUUUAAUAUGGAGGAGAUUUUUAAUAUAUAGGGGAUUGUUCUGUAUAAAUUGUCUGUAUAAAUUGUUUUGGUGGGGUUUGCGAGUGUGGUUUUGUUAUACAAAAGGAAGCGUCACGAAGCGGAUCGGAGCAAAGCAACAAAUUGGAAAUUGCAUUUUUUUUUUUUUGUAAACUAAAUAGGAAAUUACAUUGGGGGAUUUGUUUUUUAAAAAAAAAUAUAAUAAUUGUUAAUUUUUGUUUGAUUCUACUGGAAUGUUGUGAAUAGUGUCUAUAGCUUGAAUCUGAUAAACUGUAAACAUAAAAGCUUUACCUAUUUGGAUGUUUUUAAGAAUUUAGAUAAAAGUAGUGAAUACGGGACAUUAUAUUACAUAAUCGUGUUCAACCCUUAGUCCAGCAAUCAGCCGAUACACCAUAAAUAUUAUGUCAAAUUUUAUUUAGAAUAUUACCUGAAACUUAGAUAAUACUUUGUCAUUGAUUCCUCCAAACCUUUUACUUAUGGCUAUCUACAAUAGUCAAUUUUUUCAACACUAUACUUUCUUUAUUAUACAAUCCACAUCAUCUUAUUUUACUUCCACAUAUUUAUUCAACACCCUUUCUAAUUUUAACUUUUACAAUGGUGUGUUUAAUGAAAAUACCAACACCUCACCCCACCAUUUUAUUUUAUAUUUUACUUUUAAUAAUUUUAAAACUACAUAUUAAUAAUAAUUUUGACUGAAAUUAAAUUAAAAAAAUAAAAAUUAAUAUAAUUUAAAAAAAUUAUUUAUAUUCUUAACUAAUUAUUUUUCAAAUAGUAAAAGUAAAAAUAUUAUUUUUAAAACUAUUUUAUAAAAAGUAACUUUUUAUAUGUCCAAAUUUAAUGAAACAAAUUUCUAUUUAUAAAGUAUUAAAAUGAUGAAUUUUGGUAUAAAAAUCAUAUAUAAAAAGUUAAUCUACAAUUAAAUAAUAUAUGUCAAAUAAUUAGGGUUAGGAAAUCUAAUACUUUAACAACCAAUAGAAAAAUAGCAUAUAAUUAAACUUUUAAUUUAAUCAAAAAUUAAAUUGUAGUUUCAAUCAGAAAGUGACAUGUGUAUUUUUUACCAUACACUUUACUUAUUAAACCCGUUGAAAGUAUUCAACCAAGUUUAAUACAUGUCAUCUUCUCAUAUUAUUUAACAUAUCAUUGUAUGAGUUCAACCCUUGAAUAAACAUGCCAUUGUAAAUGGUUUAAUAAAAUCUAAGGUAAACUUUUAGUUUAAGUAAUAGUGUAAACUUUUAAUACUGCUCAUUUUUUUUUUGUCAACUUAAUUUCCAUUAUGGAAAAGGUCCAAUGGACCACUACAUAUUUACAUGGUAAACCUAAGAAUCCAAUCCCAUCCAGUUACCUAAGAGGAGGUAAAGACUGAUUUCCCUGAAAAAGAGUUGAAAGUGUAUCCUCUGAUGAAGUCGGGAUUUCAUAAUCUCUCACGAAAGAGAAUCAUAAACAAGAACCCUGAAUAAAAUCAGAGCUUUUAUUAACUUCAAUCUAAAACCAGAAAAGAAGAAAACCUUGAAGAACAGCUGGUUUUUUUUUUUUUUGAGAAAGGGCUUUACUUUUAUAAACUAAAUGGCCUCUAAGGCAAUUGUUUUGGGUUUGAACCCAAUACAUAAAGAUACUAACCAAAAAGGACCUACGAGCCUAGCCCUAAUCGAAUUGCAAUUGAACCGAAAAUGAAGAGGCAGUUAGUGACGGAGAAAAACAAAGAGUCACCGAGAGAUGAUCAUCGAUCAAACCAAAGCUGGAGCAUUGAGGAGGAGAGUCGGGGGUUUUCAUCUCGGAAGCUUGAGAUGCGGUUUCUGAUGAGCAAGUCGGCUUGCCUUUCGAGAGACGCAAUUGACCGAAACUGCUGCCGAUGGAGACGGUUGUUGCGUUCAGUCCAGAGGAGGUAUAUGGAGGCUUUCCAUGCGAUGAGGAUGAGUGAUCGAUGGAAUUUUGGGAGGGAGGAUGCCUGUAGGCUGCAUAGACCAGUAUCCCAAUUCCUAGAAGGCGUCCAAUUUGCCUUUCUUGCCAGACCCGACCAUAGAUUCCACAAGUAGGAGCAUUCAAAAAACAUGUGGUUUCUUGAUUCUAAAGCGCUAUUACAUAGAAUACAAGCUGGGUCUGUUGGGAUCCCCCAGUUUUGCAUCCUGUCUUUCGUGGGGCAGCGAUUCAAAGUAAUGAGCCAGGCGAGAAAGUUAUGUCUAGGUAUACCUCUGGAUGACCAGAUAGAAGCAUGCCAAAGGACCCUUUGUUGAUGGGGCCUGAUUUCAUUAUAAACCUGACCUAUUGAGAAAGUUGAUAGCGGCGAGCCAAGGGGAGACCAAGUGUAUUCAUCAUUCACUUCUGAGAGGGUGAUAGUAGAGAGGUGAAUGUGGAGGUUAAGUUGGGCUUCUGAUCGGGGUUGAGGAAGAAGCCACCUACCUUGCUGGAAGAGAUCAUGGAGGGUGGCAGAUGCUCUGAUACUGAGGCUAGUAGUAGGCGCCAAACCAAAGUAUUGUCGCAGGUUGCCAUAGGGACUCCAAUUAUCUGACCAGAACCGACAAUUCUUCCCACUGCCAGGUACAAUUUUGAUCCAAUUAUAGACAUAAUCUCUUACUCUUAGGAUUUUUUUGGUGGAUGAGGAAUGAGUUUGCUUUUCUCUUAGUGUCCACAGGUUGCUCAGAUCACCUGAGAGAACAUUUUGAAUGAACCAGGCCACCCAAAUGGAACCCGCUCUGAAGAAUAGUACCCACAACAGCUUGAUGGAGCAAGCUUUAUUCCACCACACCAAGUUCCUGAUCCCAAGCCCUCCUUCAUCUUUUGACAGUAUAACCGUUUCCCAAGAUACUCUUGCAGAGUGAGAGCCUUCCGAUGAUCCUUUCCAAAGGUAAGCCCCACACAGAGAAUUUAUGAUUUCUAUGCACUUCUUAGGGAUUGUGAAUGUUGAGCACCAGAAAUUCGCUAUUCCUGCUAUCACUGUAUUGAUCAGUAAUAACCUUCCUGCAAAAGACAGUGUUUUUGCAGUCCAGCUAUUAAUUUUGUUCUUGACCUGUUGAAUAAGGGGGUCGCAGUUAGCUAAUGACAGUUUCCUUGUGCAGAGAGGGACGCCCAGGUAGCGAACCGGCAACAUCCCUCUAGAAAGCCCACACUCCUCUUCAAUGUGAUCGAUUUCAGCCUGGUGGACACCGCUUGUGAAGAAGCAUGUUUUGGUAAUGCUUACCGUUAGCCCUGAUGCCUGCUUGAAAGCUUCUAGGACUUCAAGCACAUUCUUAACAGACUGGAGAGAGCCGUCGCAAAAGAUAAGAAGGUCGUCGGCGAAGCACAGGUGCGUUAGUUUUGUGUCUUUACAAGCAUGGUGAUAGCCAAAUUUACCUUCUUCAGCAGCUUUAUCUAACAUAAGUGAUAGACAAUUCAUUGCAAUGACAAAUAGGUAUGGCCAGGAAAUGGAGCGGCAAGAACACUGGGUCGGCUACUUGCAAGCGUGGGUUUGUGCAGUUCUGUUAUGAGCCCAUCAAGCAGAUCAUUGCCACUUGCAUGAAUGACCAGAAGGACAAGCUGUGGCCUAUGUUGCAGAAGCUUGGUGUCCAGAUGAAGUCUGAUGAGAAGGAGCUCAUGGGUAAACCUUUGAUGAAGCGUGUCAUGCAGACUUGGCUCCCUGCAAGUACCGCAUUGCUUGAGAUGAUGAUCUUUCACCUUCCGUCGCCCCACACUGCACAGAGGUACCGUGUUGAGAACCUGUAUGAAGGUCCUCUCGAUGAUCAGUACGCCACCGCCAUCAGCCUUGUGGUGGUUGACUGUAUUGAGGGUGUCUGUGUUCAGACUGAGACUGUGCUGCGUCAGGCUCUUGCUCAGAUCACCUGAGAGAACAUUUUGAAUGAACCAGGCCACCCAAAUGGAACCCGCUCUGAAGAAUAGUACCCACAACAGCUUGAUGGAGCAAGCUUUAUUCCACCACACCAAGUUCCUGAUCCCAAGCCCUCCUUCAUCUUUUGACAGUAUAACCGUUUCCCAAGAUACUCUUGCAGAGUGAGAGCCUUCCGAUGAUCCUUUUCAAAGGUAAGCCCCACACAGAGAAUUUAUGAUUUCUAUGCACUUCUUAGGGAUUGUGAAUGUUGAGCACCAGAACAGCUGGUUUUAAACUGAAACACUACAAAAUCGCCAUGCAAACAAGAUAAUCCGCAACCGGAAAACAAAAUUCGAUCUAAACGAUCGAAAGAUAACUAUUUUACAUCAAAGUUUCUUAUCUCAUCUCCUCUCCUCUGUGAAAGAUAGAGAGAGAGAGAACAGAGGAGAGAGAGAUAAAACUUUUAACACUACAAAGUUCCAUACCAAAAAAAAAAAAAAUCUUCAAAACCAAAUCUUAAAACGAAUUAUUGGGCCAAAAUAAUAAACUAUUGGGCCAAAUUUUUUAUUGGGCCACAAAGGGUCGAGAAAAGCAGCGGAAACCCUAGGCAUAUAUCAAUCGCCUCCUCUCCGGCUCAUCUCUCUCACAAGCCUCUCCUUCCCCUCCAAGGUCAGAGUCCGUUUCUUUGUUACGAUUGUCGUCGAUGGUUUAAUUGUUGUAUUGAAUCUGCAUAGUUUUAGCUGUUAGAUGUUUAUAUGAUCAGUAGUACUGUUUCCUUAUGGUCUUUGUUGUUAUUUUAUUUUUAUUUUCUUGGUAAUCGAUCUGUCUCGUUUCUUUAGAUCUGAUCGUAGAAACGUUUAAUGAUGAUAGGAUCCGUAUAAAUACUAUUUGAUUGUGAGCUGUUACUUGUCUGUUUGCUCAAGUUUUCAGAAGAUUAUUUUGGUAUUAAAAUGUUUUUGAAUCGUUUCAUAAUCAGUUGCCUAAUUUAUUCUUAAUAUUGUUUCUGUGAUUGCAGAGAUAUCGUAGGGUAUCUACAAAUCAGAGUUUGUCAAAAUGGUAAGCCAUACUUGUUAAUAUCUUUACUUUUGUCUUCUUGUUGUUGAUUCUAACUUUUUUUUUUUUUUUCCUUUAAAUUAACUUGUAGGUGAAGUUUACGGCCGAUGAGCUUCGUAGGAUUAUGGAUUACAAACACAACAUCCGUAACAUGUCCGUUAUUGCCCAUGUCGACCAUGGUACUUACUGUCUUUUUUAUUUAUUUUUUUUUUUCAGACUUCAAAUUAUUUUUACUAGGGUUACUCAGGUUCUCUUUUCUCUUAUGCUUUUUGUGAUUGACGACAGGUAAAUCCACCCUGACUGACUCCUUGGUUGCUGCUGCUGGUAUCAUUGCGCAAGAAGUUGCUGGUGAUGUCCGUAUGACUGAUACUCGUGCUGACGAGGCUGAACGUGGUAUCACCAUCAAGUCCACGGGUAUCUCUCUCUACUACGAGAUGACCGAUGCUUCCUUGAAGAGCUUCACUGGCGCCAGAGAUGGGAACGAGUACCUUAUCAACCUCAUCGACUCUCCUGGCCACGUUGACUUCUCCUCUGAGGUCACUGCUGCGCUCCGUAUUACCGAUGGUGCCCUUGUGGUGGUUGACUGUAUUGAGGGUGUCUGUGUUCAGACUGA
rnacentral:lncRNA from 1 species